CCUAUCCCUAAGGCACAGCUCUGCACCUCAAAGCCAAACAUCCCUGCUUUUCCUGGGGACCCCCAACUCCUUCACUCUUCCCAAGUUCCUGACCCAGGGCCUUACUCUCAGAUUUGUGACCAGACUUCUGAAAGCUGUUCUGGACCAGUAGUUUCUUGUUUGUUUUGUUUUUCCUUUCUUUUAAAAAAUAUUUUAUCUUAUUGAGAGAGAGAGACCAGAGCACUGCUCAGCCCUGGCUUAUGAUGGAGCUGGGGAUUGAACCUGGGACCUCAGAGCCUCAGGCAUGAGAGCUUUUUCCUUAACCAUUAUACUGUGUCCCCAGCCCCUUGUUUGUUUCACUUUUCAAAGUUGGUUUUGUUUGUUCUUUAUAGAGAUUUGCAAUGCAGGGUCUCCCUGACCACUUAACCACAACUGGAAACACUUGAAGAGGGACUCCAGAACCAGCUGGUGCAGGUCCCAGGGUCCCCUGGACCACUCACAGCUUUUCCCUGGCUGUGACAUGCCAUCAUUCCCUUAGCACUGGCUGUCUCCCCCCAUAUACACACAUACACACAGGGUCCCGAACAGGACAGAUGACCCUGCCAUGCAAAGCAAGAAGCUAAAGCCAAGCCCUCCCUCCAAUCAUCAUGAGGAUCCAAACACUCAGCCCACCCCAACCCAAAUCUGUACACCCCCCUCCACCUUUGUGGGAGGGCUCCUGAGGACCCAGUUGGGUCAGGUGUCUCUUGUUAAGGCUUCAUAAAGUCCAGCUUCAGCUAAGAGACGCCCAGGUCUGCAGUCUGCCCAGCACAACUCUUCCAGGCUUCUGGUUCCUUAUUCUGCCCUUAUCCUGAGACUCUAGAAAUCAGAGGAGCUAUCCAGCCCAGCGCAGGGUUAUGGCUCCAACCUCAAUGCUGGGAGCCCAGUAGCGAACCUACAUGCCUUAUCUGUUUUUAAUAGGUAAAGGGGUUUUCUUAACAAGCAUGCCUGACCUCCCUGGAGGCACCCCCAGCUCUCCAUGUGGCACUGUGAUGAGAGCAGGCAGCUGGUCCUUCGUUCACACAUCUCGGAACCUUUUGUCUUUUGGAGGUGGGCAGCUUCCCAGCCCUCGUUAUGUCUCUGUCAUCUAGGGUGAAGGGGUUGGGUGGGGAGGGCUCCUGCCUGUUUGCACCCCAGUUCUGUAGCGCCGAUCACUGUCACCUUUGAAGUAUACAUGAGAGAAAUAUAUUUACAAAUGCUUUAUUCUCUUCUUUAAUAAAAAAUGCACUCGUGUUCUAAAAGCA